CUUCAGCGUCAAAGCUCUGUACCUGUCAACAUGAACGGAUUCGUUGGAGUGAACGCCCUCGUGUGGGUUGCUGUUGCACUAGCUGUGCUCAUCAAUGAAGCUGCCGCCCUUGGUGGUGCUGUCGGAGGUGGUAGAGGAUUAGACCGCAAGAAGUGAAUAACUGCGCAUCGGUUCAAGAACCAUGGCUCCAUCGG